rnacentral:lncRNA from 1 species
CAAAUUGUGACGUGAUGUGGGAAAGGUCAGCAGCAGAAAUAGGAUGCAAGCAUUUGAAAGCAGCCUUGCCACUGGAGAUAAGAUAGCAUGCAGCUACAUCCUAUGUUUCUGCUUACCCUCAGAGACCAAGUGUUAAGCAGUUCCAAUCUGUAUCUCCUUGUCAGCGACACUUACUACAGAUUCAAAGUGUUGAAGCAUGCAUGGUACACAAAGGUUGAAGAUCAAACUAAUUAUCCCUUUACCACAUCUGAAACUGAUGGAACAACCUGCAGCAAACUCAGUGAAUGGUUACGCUGAUCAUGUCUGGGAGCAGCAGGAGGUCACACCAGGAGGGAUCAGGGCAGGAUGAGGGCAGCCCCAGGAGGGUCAAAACUGCCCCAAGGGGCAUGAACCUUCAUCAGGGCAAGAUCAGGGCAGUGACAGAGACAUCAAAGAGUCCCUGGCUGGGCAGCCACCUUCAGGCGACAAAUAUCAUAAAUUAAUUUUGUGUAAAAAAAAUAAAAGUUGACUUGCAUCACUUUUGCUUAUUGAC